AGAUAGAGAGAGAACCGACCGGCUCGCCUGCUCGAUUAACUUGCAAAUUGAACGGAUGAUCGUAUUGUAAAUGGGAUGAUUGAAAUUGGAAUUCGUCGACGAUGGCAUGCCAGACACUUCUCUUCGAUUGAUCAGAGAUUAGCGUCGGAGAGUUGAUAUUGAAAGAGAAAAUACAGUAAAGUGAAAUGAAAUGUUCUUUGUGGCUCAUUAUGGGAUAGCUCGAAGUGGUCCGGUCAUCUUGGUAUCAUUAUUCAGUUUGACUCACUGGAUUGAUUAUGGCGAUGGAGAAAUCUAAAAUGAAAAAUUAACAACGCGGUGAAUUUAACAACCUUAGGUAAAUGAAAAAAAAAUCAUCUCAGAAAUGAUUUACUUCUGAGUUGAUGGGACAAAUACUAUUUUCUGGAGAGCCAAAAACUGAGAAUCAUUGAAGAUGUAAGUACUUACUUACAGUCGGCGAAAGGAUUUUCUUCAAGAGGAUUUGGUUUUGCUGGAAAACAUUUUUUCAUCUCGACUCUCUUCCUGAAAUGUACUUACUUUAUAGUGAAAUAAAACUUUCAUAUUGCUGA